UACGUAGGUUGCGAGCGUUAAUCGGAAUUACUGGGCGUAACGCGUGCGCAGGCGGUUUUGUAAGCCAGAUGUGAAAUCCCCGGGCUUAACCUGGGAAUGGCAUUUGGGACUGCAAGGCUUGAGUGCGGCAGAGGAGACUGGAAUUCCUGGUGUAGCAGUGAAAUGCGUAGAUAUCAGGAGGAAUACCGAUGGCGAAGGCAGGUCUCUGGGCUGACACUGACGCUCAUGCACGAAAGCGUGGGGAGCAAACAGG
rnacentral:rRNA from 1 species